UGGUGCCCCGGCUCUGCGUCAAGCUCCAGCUAGGCCGGGCAUUCCGUGCUCGCGCGCCCCGCGGGCGGGAUUUGGGGCGNCGGCUCUGCCCGUCUGGCCGGGCUGUGGUCCCAUCUACGCUCCGGGGGCCUCUGCGGGUUGAUCUGGGUNUCUCUGUGCGCCGGGCGCCCGCCGUCGGCUCGGCCGCCGCGGCCGUGUCCCC
rnacentral:rRNA from 1 species